AGCAAACUACAAAACUCUAUUAUUUCAGUACAUUAACUUUGGAUUUAUUGUUUAUGGCGAAGCAGCAGAAUCUUGUGUAUUCGUUUGUAUGUAUGUGUGUGUGUGUGACACAAUUUGUCACUCAGUCAAUGGUCACAAACAAAUAAACUUGCCAUAAAAAGCCAGAAAGUUUGUCUCUUUAGUUUAAGAUCGAGCGUAUAGGGUUGCAAGUUAAACAAUCAGAGAAAACCAAUGACUCAGAUACUAUGUCACUAUCCGACUACCUAUGUGCAAUAGAAGGACAAAUUCUUGCCAAACUGUUGACAGAGAAGCUGUGUUUGUGUGUGUUUACUUAAUCGAGAGUAACUAUUAGAGCGGAAAAAUUGUCAAGCUAAAGUUUCGAAUUCGGCAACUCGACAGCAAAAGUUGAAGCAUUACUUUGGGGUGCAAGACUAAUUGAAAGCGCCUGUUGUGCAUAGGCUGCAGGCAUUGUGCCCAUAAUGUGCAUUGUAAGUUAUGCACACGCGGCGUAUGCGCAAUGUAAACCACCAGCAUAAUGAGACAAGCGCCAGUUGCCGCAUCCACGAGUGUGAGUUUCCUGGCGGCCAUUUACACAUACAUGCACACACACAUACUCACGUAUUUAUUUUUUAUUGACUUGUUGGUAUUAGAAAGCAAUUUUAUUUGCAAGGCAAAGAAA